GAUGAACGCUGGCGGCGUGCCUAAUACAUGCAAGUCGAGCGAACAGACGAGGAGCUUGCUCCUCUGACGUUAGCGGCGGACGGGUGAGUAACACGUGGAUAACCUACCUAUAAGACUGGGAUAACUUCGGGAAACCGGAGCUAAUACCGGAUAAUAUAUUGAACCGCAUGGUUCAAUAGUGAAAGACGGUUUUGCUGUCACUUAUAGAUGGAUCCGCGCCGCAUUAGCUAGUUGGUAAGGUAACGGCUUACCAAGGCAACGAUGCGUAGCCGACCUGAGAGGGUGAUCGGCCACCCUGGAACUGAGACACGGUCCCGACUCCUACGGGAGGCAGCAGUAGGGACUCUUCCGCAAUGGGCGAAAGCCUGACGGAGCAACGCCGCGUGAGUGAUGAAGGUCUUCGGAUCGUAAAACUCUGUUAUUAGGGAAGAACAAAUGUGUAAGUAACUAUGCACGUCUUGACGGUACCUAAUCAGAAAGCCACGGCUAACUACGUG
rnacentral:rRNA from 1 species